AUGUAUUACCUCAUACACAAAAUAGUUUAACUGAGUGUCAACCUCCGAUCGAUCGCCAUUUUCUAACCAAAUUGUUCUUAAAUAUAUUUUAAUUGAAGACCCCCACAAUGGUUGCUGCACGAGGCCACCAAAAGUGUGUCUGGCCCGAACAUGCUGUGCCACCUGAAAAGUUCCUGGAACUGUGGCAUUGGACCCCUGCCCAGAAACAAUAACCCGAAGCUGGCAUAAAGUUCAGGCCUUAACAAGAUGGAACAAAAGGCUGUCUGGCUGGAUUGGAUUGGAUUGGGAGCUGAUGCUGAUGGUGAUGACUGUCAGUAGCCGAGUCGGGAGAUGGUAAGUUUCCGCGGAGGUGGCCAGGGUAAGAAGGCCAAAACGCGACGACAACUUGGCUGACAAGCGGGCGAAUGCAAAUAAGUCUCGUAGCCGGCUCAUUUCUGCUGAAUUCACUAAACUCCGGACUGCUGAUUUCCACCUUUUGGCUUGAUUUAUCUGGCAUUUUAUUGGCCAGCGCCAUUUGCCUUCGCCUCGACGGCCUAGACCAUAAUUUACGCAUCCUCCUGCCAAUGUAUGCGUUUGCUGUUUUUCUUGCCAUUCUUUUUAGGCCCGGCCUAAUAAAGUUCUCUCAGGUGUGAAAAGGCCUCCACUUGCAUACGAGGCAGCUUAAUUGAUGACAACAUCUUGGAAUUUUCGUUGGUAUUCCAAUCCGAAGUUGUCGCCAGUCCGCCAGUUCUUCGUCGAUUGCCUUUUGCUCUUGGGCCCAGCUGUUAGCGCUGACUUGGCUCUUUAACCGCUUGGCUGCUUGGCUGGCCAACUGAAAUCAGUUAAAUAAUGAAACAUUUGCACGAUACUGGCGAAUCGGAAUCGAAAUCGUAUCGCGCGCCAACUCGAGCCAGGCUUUUUGGCCAAGGAUAGGGAACUGAAAACUGGCUAAAACGGCCAGCUCAACGGCAGCGAGCAGCAACAAUCAGCACAAUCCGCAGUUGUAUGGUGCUACAUAUCGUACAAGAUUUCCGGGAAUUGAAAACUGCUAAAAAUCGUGUUUGAUUUUAUACGUUGCUGUUGUUGUCCCGCUCCUUAUGCAUGCAAUUUGGGGGGGAUUUCGUUCGGUGGAGAAAGAAGGGACCUGCAGCAUCUACGAUACGCGUCGUGGUUCAACAUGCAAUCGCAACAAACGAAAGCAGCUUGUUAACUAAUUAAAACCAAAAUAUAUGCAAAUCAAAGGCCCCAAAAAGAACCCAAAAGGAGUCCUCAUCGUCCUCUGCCUUUAUCCAUCCUUAUUUUUUUCUCUCUCUGGAUCUGAGCUCAGCUACUGUUUUGCGUUGGAGUGGAAGUUCUGCCUGCUUUCCUCGCCUUUUUGUCAGCGAUCUGUUUCUUUUUUUUUCGGGGGCAAUUAAGCGGAGACAACGAAGAGUCGCUGCCAUAAUGCUGCAAAAUCGAGAACUAAAUAGCACAAAGAGCAUUGUGCAAAAAUUAAUUGCAACAUUUUGAGCAGGGACCACCGCCACCGCGCCCCCUUUUUUUCCUCUCUCGUGGAUCUUGCUCCAAAUGCAAUCAAUUCAGUAUGGAUUUCUGGCGAAGCAAUCGAUGCGGAUUUACGAGUCGCCUGCAUUUUGCCUUUUCCAGCCAGCCAUUUGGCCCAUUGUCGAGUGUCCCCCAGAGGGCUCCAAGAUGAACCUGCACGGGGAGAAAAACUACUGCAGUUGGGCAUCAAUUUCGAGUGUAAACUCACUUUUUAUUACGAUACAAAGCAACUUGUGGUUUUUUUUGUAAAUAGUACUUGGCUAUAAUCGAAACAUUUUGUUAUCAGUGUAAUGAUAUGGUGGUGGGUGAGCAGCUCCAUCCGCCGUCGUGGUCUUGUGUCUCUGGCUUAGGUGCGGACAUAUGUAAAACAAGCCAUGAAACAACCGGCUGGGAGCAGGACACUCCGCGUUCGCAUUCUCAUUCGGAUUGAGAUUCAGUUUCGGAAGUGAAAUUUAUUUUGCAUACGAGCCUUCGCCCCACAGAGGAGCCAUUGUCUUUUGUUUGGCCACAACGAUGCGGAUGGUGGAGCGAGCACGCUGUGGGGUCACCGGCAAGUGCUCCUGGGAAACUUUUCGCUCGGCGCAUAUAUCAGGAAUGGGUUGCAGGAGCCAGGAGCAGCCGUUCGAUUGUCACUGGGAAAUUAUCCAAUUUUGUGGUUUGCAUUCAAAUUGAGCACCGCCGGCUGUCAAUUUACCAAAGGUCCAGCAACCAAGGAGCAUACCUUCGUUCUGCAGAAGGGUUAUUGGAAAGGAAGAGGACUCCGUCUCGGUGGCGGAUUCGGACGAGUAGCUGUCAUGUUGAUGAAUGCAAUUGGCAAUUGCCCCCGGAGCGCUGGUGGUCCCAAUUCGCUUCGGUUUAGUUGGGUUUUUAGCUGCGCUCGGGGUUCAGCCCGAAAUCAUAAUCGCGAUCUGGCCGCGAUCCCGAUUUCGAACCCUUUAUUGCCUGCUUCCGGAUAUCCAAGACCAUAAAAUGCAUGGCCAACGCUGUUUAUUAAUUGCAUCAAGAUCAACUCGCAAACGCCGUCAGCAUUAAGCCCAAAAGAAAAGCAUAAACAAAAACCUAAAACGAAACAACAUUUUGAUAAGAAAUUUCACUAAUGAGUAUUUACCUUUUGGGAAUGGGCUGCGGCUUUGGCCACGGCUUAUUUGGGGUUGGGUUAUAACUUAUAAGCGCACGUUAACGUUAACGGGGCGUAUGCUUAAUGCUAGAUUAGUAUCGCGAAUUUCAUGUGCGCUGAACUUAACGGCUGAUCGCUCAUAAAAUUAAUCAAGCUGCUUUAGGCUACUUUAAUGUUUUCAGCAUUUUACAUUCUCCGCACUCUAACAAUUUUCGGGGUAUUGGCAAUAUAUUGUAUGGCUUAAAUGGGAAAUUGAUGGUAACAAAAUAAAUGUAUCACAUUCGAAACGAAAUAUAAUAGCUUUGACCAAGAUCUUAAGUUCCUCAAAAAUAUUUCAUACACUGUUUGAGAUAAUAAAUUAAGUUGAGUGAAAUGUAUAUCAUGAGCAUAAAAGAAUAAAAUCUAUAAAAAAUAUACUUUCCUUUCACCAAAGACAGAGUAACCAGUUCUCGUCGACUGUCCACUAUCUUCGACUUGUUUCAAAACGUUGUUAAUAUUUUCACAUACUUUGGUGGGAUUUCCUUUCCCUUUGCUGGCUGGCGGUUAACAAAUUGCUUUCGUUAUCGCCGAUUUCGAUGCAGAGCAAGUUGAAUGCACUUUGGGCUUUCGAACUCCACUCCGGCUAUUCGAUUCGAUUGCAGUUGGAUGGAUACUCCUUGGACGGGACUCACGUACGAGUACGAGGACCGAUCGGGUGGUCGAGCCAUUUGUUACAUUAUAAUAUAUAUAAUAAAUUUCAGCUAGCUGGUGAGCGGAGGAGCAGCUAGAUAAAUAAUGCAUUUGCCCAUAAAUAUCCUCCUGCUGCCGCCGCCUGAUUGACGCCUGACGUUUGUCAUGGGCCGGCAAUUUGCAUUGGGUUCAUUGGAAAAUGUCAACUUUAAUUGAAUUUGCACUGACGAAAGGCUCCGAUUUAUGUCUCCCCGUCGUUUCGUAAUAAACAUGUCAGCCGCAGUAUUCGAUCUUUGCCCGCGUCUCGGCCAAAAGAUUCAGAUUCAGCAUUUGGCUGUGGGCCAACUAAUUUGAACGCUAGCUGGGAACAGUUUUUCCCUCCCAAACAGGAUGGAACGACAAAACCUGCUUGGACUGGAGGCUGCGAAGGCUGCGGCUCUGGUGCAACUGGAUUCCGGAAUCGCCUGCCCCUUGCACCAAUCCCAGGCGCUAGCUUAAUGCCAUAAUUUAUGCGCACAACUCGCUUUCGAUGCCGCGGCACUGGCUCCGCCUUUUGGCCAAUCAGCGGGCGCGUUUCUGGCCAUGUCUAGGGCUGGCUCAAAACAUCCGCUCGCCUGCGGAGCAUCCGCCAUCUACACGUGUCUGAGGAAUUGUGCCACAGGGAUCCUGAAAAUAAGGAGAUUUAUUU